UAAUAACGGAUUUGGUGUAUUUUGCCUUUAAAAAAAUAAUUUCUUUUAGUAAAGAAGAAAGAAACCCAAAGUCUACUUCUAAAGCCUUCCACACGACAGCCCAGUACCACCAUCUUCCUCUCUGAACCAAAAAAACCUUUUUCUAUGUCUGUUCCAUAAUCCAUUUCGAAAAGCAUGUUGAAACCACAAACAGACAAGCUGGUGAGGAGGACAGCCAUGGUGGCCACUGUCACUGCUUCUUAUUUUCUCAUAACCGCUGACUAUGGCCCUCAACCCAAUGCUCUGGACCCAUCACAGGAAUAACUCCGUCCACAAAUCAGAGGCACUUAUUGAUGAGGAUGAUUAGGAAUUACAUGAAUGCUUGGCCAUGUUCGACAGAGCCCAGUGGCAAAUUGUAGAAAGGUUGAAGUUAGAGACCAAAGAAAUGAUUAAGAAGGCGAUAUUAUCGGCAGAAAGUUCUGUUAAGGAAUUCAUCUUUGGGUCAAACAAUCAAUCUGAAGAAAGUGAAAUAGAGAAGCUGGGAUCUGAAAGUGCCAAGAAACAUCCAUAGAUUGAUAGACAGCUAACAUGUACAGAGAACUUAAUGAAUUUGAGUAAAGUUUCGACAGUUGCUUGAACAAGAAAGCUGUUAAAUGGGAUUGAGUUUUUUUUUU